UCUCCGUAGGUGAACCUGCGGAGGGAUCAUUACUGAGUGAGGGCUCCGGCCCGACCUCCAACCCUAUGUGAACCGAAACCUGUUGCUUCGGGGGCGACCCUGCCGUUCGGCGCGGCGCCCCCGAAGGUCUCCAAACACUGCAUCUUUGCGUCGGAGUUUAACACAAAUGAAACAAAACUUUCAACAACGGAUCUCUUGGUUCUGGCAUCGAUGAAGAACGCAGC
rnacentral:misc_RNA from 1 species